rnacentral:rRNA from 1 species
ACCUUAUACAGGGGAAUAGCCCAGAGAAAUUUGGAUUAAUGCCCCAUAGUAUUAUUGAAUGGCAUCAUUUGAUAAUUAAAGUUCCAACGGUAUAAGAUGAGCAUGCGUCCCAUUAGUUAGUUGGUAAGGUAACGGCUUACCAAGACAAUGAUGGGUAGGGGUCCUGAGAGGGAGAUCCCCCACACUGGUACUGAGACACGGACCAGACUCCUACGGGAGGCAGCAGUGAGGAAUAUUGGUCAAUGGGCGCAAGCCUGAACCAGCCAUGCCGCGUGCAGGAAGAAGCAUCUAUGG